UACAUAGGGUGCAAGCGUUGUCCGGAAUUAUUGGGCGUAAAGAGUUCGUAGGUGGUUCGUUACGUCGGAUGUGAAAAUCUGGGGCUCAACCCCAGACCUGCAUUCGAUACGGGCGAGCUAGAGUUUGGUAGGGGAGACUGGAAUUCCUGGUGUAGCGGUGGAAUGCGCAGAUAUCAGGAGGAACACCAAUGGCGAAGGCAGGUCUCUGGGCCAAUACUGACACUGAGGAACGAAAGCGUGGGGAGCGAACAGG
rnacentral:rRNA from 1 species